rnacentral:lncRNA from 1 species
GGCGAGGUGAGCUGAGGAGGCGGUGAGCGCGGCCGGCGGGAACGCGGCGGGAGGGUCCCUAUGUGUCUCUAUGUGUCCCUAUGGGGUUUUUUAUGGGGUCCUUAUAGGGUCCCUCUGUGCCCCAUAGGCCGCCAUGCUGUCGCUGAAGGUGAAGGUGGAGAAGCCGGAUUUGGAGGCCACAUCGGCCCGGAGCCGUUUGGAUGCGGUGCUGCAGGGACUGCUGGAGCGCAGUGAGGGCGAUAGGUGAGGAUUUGGGGGCUG